AAAAGGUGAAAAUGGCGAUGUUGGUCCAAUGGGUCCCCCAGGUCCUCCUGGCCCUAGAGGCCCUCAAGGUCCAAGCGGAUCAGAUGGUCCUCAAGGUCCAUCAGGUUCAGCUGGCUCUGUU